UGAAAUGCAUACACUCAGCGCUUACCACCUCAAAAAACAAACAAACAAAACGGUAAAAGAGAAACGGCUCCAGGUAAAUUUGGCUAAUUUACUUGGUUGAAUUGACAAGCGCUGAUAAAGUUAAACUGCGCAGGAGGAGGACACCUAGCUAAAAGAUGCAGGUGUGCAAGCCCCGCUGAGAUUCUGCCAAGAUGUGAGCUUUAGCAAGAGAAGAUGAAAAGUUAAUUAAUGCAACCUGGAUAUACAGAGCAUUGGACGACGUUUUGAAAACACCUGGAAGUAACGUCACACAAAUGCUAGCUUUAAUGGCUUUCCUUGGCUACAAUGUAAUGUGCACAAUUAUUACGCCAAGGAGACUUUUCUAAAGGGGAAAAGCCACGCAGAAAAAAGCUUCCAUCGCCUUGGAAAAGGGCGCUAGCUUUACAGCAGCACACUGGGAUAGGGAAAACAUAUUUUGGAUGAAUAACAUUAACUGUUAUGUGUCUAGAACCAAGACACAGUGAACACAUGGCGUCUUCUCCACCUAUUAAAGGAACUAUGACAGAACUUUGGAGGUGAACUUCAUUAGACAUCUACAUGUAAGCCUGGUGGCAACUUGGGAAUUUGAAUUUUGGACAGAGAUGGAGUUGGCUAUGGACUGGAUGAAUGGUGACCUCAAAAGAUGAAAUUAUGUACUGGAUGGCACAUUCGACACACUUAGGGGACAUUGUCUGUCUACAAAAGAAAGAAUUGAUUCCACAUCCAUCCACGUUUGGACCGCUGAAGAAUCCUCCCAUCACUCUCUGGCAUCCCAAACAGAUUCCCAAUAUUCCCAGGCGUGAAAGGCAGGGCAGUACUGGGCCACAGGAUAGAGAGCAUCAGGAGGAGCAGAACCUGAUUGGUUAUCAUGGUAUCCAAUCAGCUGGGAAAUGUCCUUGAUGACUUCAGAAUUAUGGUAAAAAGCUUCUGAUAGGAUGAACACUGGACGGCAGUGUCACCAGAACAGACAUUGUAUUCCUCUCUUAGAUGUCCUUUAGAUCCCUGUGAAAAGAGGAAACUUCAGUCAAGAAGGACUUUUAUGAUGCUUCCUUAUCUAUUUUACACUAGGCUUUAAAUCAUAGAGCAACACUUGUAUACACACAAACGCUUUUCUGUGUCUCUCUUUCAGUUCGCACUUUACCAGGGCAGCAGCUAAUUAUACAAUCAGCAAAUAUGAAUUCCUUCAAUUUGCAUUGUGUGAGUGUUUAAAAGGAGAGUUUAAAAGUCAUAAUUCAGUGGUGGGAUUUUUCAGUGACCUCAUAUACUGUAUUUAAAUACACUGGUUGAAAAAAUCUUUUAGUGUAUAUUUUCUUUCACAAAGGUGCAAAAAC